rnacentral:tRNA from 1 species
GGCUGGGUAGCUCAGUUGGUAGAGCGCUCGUUUGAAAGUCGAGAGGUCCGCGGAUCAACACCGCGUCCAGCCACCA